GAGUGCGCAGGGGCGGCCCCGCGCCGCGGGCCUCUUAGCCAUUUUAGGAGGAAACCCAAAUCGUCACCCCGGGUGCAGCUUCAAUUUCAAUAACUUUAUUGGUGGCCUUGUCCUCAGGGCGGCCAUCGCGCCCGUGGUCCCGGGGAGAGGGAGCGCGUCGCUGGAGGUGUAGUUCUUCGCGCCAGGUGGCCCCCGAUUCGAGCUGCAGCCAUGGGAAACACCACCAGCGACCGGGUGUCCGGGGAGCGCCACGGCGCCAAGGCUGCACGCGCGGAUGGCGGCGGCGGCCAUGCCCCGGGCAAGGAGCACAAGAUCAUGGUCGGGAGCACCGACGACCCCAGCGUUUUCAGCCUGCCGGACUCCAAGCUCCCUGGGGACAAAGAGUUUGUAUCAUGGCAGCAAGAUUUGGACGACUCUGUAAAGCCUACGCAGCAGGCCCGGCCUACUGUUAUCCGUUGGUCUGAAGGAGGCAAGGAGGUCUUCAUUUCUGGGUCCUUCAACAACUGGAGCACCAAGAUUCCACUGAUUAAGAGCCAUAAUGACUUCGUUGCCAUCUUGGACCUCCCCGAGGGAGAGCACCAAUACAAGUUUUUUGUAGAUGGACAGUGGGUUCAUGAUCCAUCAGAGCCUGUGGUUACCAGUCAGCUUGGUACGAUUAACAAUUUGAUCCAUGUCAAGAAAUCUGAUUUUGAGGUGUUUGAUGCUUUAAAACUAGAUUCUAUGGAAAGUUCUGAGACAUCUUGUCGAGACCUUUCCAGUUCACCCCCAGGGCCUUAUGGUCAAGAAAUGUAUGUAUUUCGAUCUGAAGAGAGAUUCAAAUCCCCACCCAUCCUUCCUCCUCACCUACUCCAAGUUAUUCUUAACAAGGACACUAAUAUUUCUUGUGACCCAGCCUUACUUCCUGAGCCCAACCAUGUUAUGCUGAACCAUCUCUAUGCAUUGUCUAUUAAGGACAGUGUGAUGGUUCUUAGUGCAACCCAUCGCUACAAGAAGAAGUAUGUCACUACGCUGCUGUACAAACCCAUCUGAAGCCAUCCUGUCUUGCCUUCAUGGAUUCAGGAGAAGCUUCUCCCUUGCCUUUGAACUGAACCAGUCUUACCUGAGACUGGAAGGCUGAUUUGCUUUCAGGCCAAUAUGUGUGUUUCAGAGCUUCUGAGUAGGAUGCUCUGCUUUCGCAUUUGAUUGCAGAUGAGAGCUUUAUGAGUUCAUGGAAUUUAUUUUAAGAAGAAAACAUAUACAUAUGAAGGGAAGGUUAUUGGAAGCCUCCUAGCCCCAGCUAUGGGUAUUCACCAGGACCCCUUUUGGGGAGCUAUAGAGAUAACUGUACAGGGAGUUUUUUUUCCCUAAAAUGAAAGAACAGCAAACUCUUGUUGGGUGAAGAUUCUACCACUGCUACCUUUGGUGUCCAAAAAAUGAACUUGGGCUAGACUGUUGCCCUACUUAUAGCUUCUGCCUCGCAGGGGCAGCUUCUCUUGCAUGGGGUCUCUGUAUUUUCACAGUGUGUGGCACAGUCUGUGUUUUUUGAUAUAACAAAUGCCUCACAAGAACGCUUUGUUCUCUUAUUUCACAUUCUUCCUUUAAUAGCCUCCUUCAGAUCCCAUACCUGACCCCUCACAAAAUUCUUUCAGUAAGUGACCCCUUUGGAAAGUUCUGUGGGACCUGACCCACGUUAUUGAUGAUGGUUGUCAGAAUAUCUCCUUUUUAGCCCACCAGAAGCCCAAGCCACUUUGUUACCACUUGUGUUUUAAACUUCUACUAAAGAAAAUAUGGGUUCAAUGUUAUAAGAAAGGCAUACGCAGAAGAUCUAUUUUUUUCUUUUAAUUUGCUACUACAGCUUUGACUGUAUGGCACAUAGGUUUUCCUGUUUGGCCUGGCCUUGCUUCCAGUUAUGCUUUCUCAGAGCAGACAGCUCUGCAGAUAGACAUGGACCAGGGAACACUUCUAGGACUUUUAUCCUUGAAAGAUUUUUAUGUGCCUGCAUUUUUCUUUAAUUAAAAAAAUUCCUUUUCAUUGGUCUUAAAAGACUGUAUUAGAGAACUUAAGGCUUUUAAUAAAUGGUCUUUAAGAUUUUCUUCUUUAGUUAGAGGAGACUAUACUCUUAUGUUAAUAUGGCCAGACCCAUGUUCGUCUUUAUCCCAAGUACUGCUCUUGAUACAAGUUCAUACGGACUCAUUGAUACACAUAUGGAUUCCCUCAGCUGUUAAGAUGUAAAGGCCAUGAGGCAAGAAAGUAUUCCUGGAAGGGUCUUUGUACUAAAUAGUAAGAAGAUCACUUUUUUCUUUCUGCCUCUUUUUUAAAAAUGUGUUUAGUAAUGAGGUAGGGUCACUGAUUUCCAUUUAUGAACUGAAAAGUAUUCAAUCCACCCUUGGGGUUCAGAGAUAAGACAUUUUUUCCAAGUAUCUUGGCUCUUCCAUUUUACAGAUAAAUGCAAGUCAAACAUUCAACCUUGAAGGAGGCCAUACUUGAUGGUUGAGAGACUCCUUGACUGCUAAGAUGAACCCAGCCACACUGAAAGGGCACCUACAGGAAUUUUGUUAAGUCAUAGUUGGCAGGAUAAGAAGAUAGUUCUUAAAAGGUGGCUGACCCUUAACAACAGCAGUAUGGUAUUGUGAUUGUGGGGCAAAGAAAGAAGACUAAGUUGAGGAGUAAAGGACGAAGUAACUGAAAAUAAUCCAUUUUUAUAAGAAAAUUUAAAUCAGACAUAACCUGGUGAUAUAUCCUUGGAUCUCAUUAUACAAAACUUAGCGUUAUGUGGAACAUUUUCCCUUUGUUUCUUGUUCCUAUUUGCUGCUUUAAUUUUAUUUGUCAGAUGGACUCUACCAAAGUCUUAAGUUAAAUGUUACCUAAAAUACAUAGGUUAGUCAUUUCACUGGUAUGGAGAACUUCCACACCAGAGUUAGUAGGUUGCUUUAAGUUCAGACUUGAAUGGGAUUUAACCACUAUAGGCAACACCCCUGCAGUGCUUUUUUAGCACAUGCUUGUGUAAUUAACGUGUAAAAGAGUCAUCCAAAAGAUGUUUCUGAGAGGAUCUGAGAAACCAGACUCACUCACUUUUUUUCCAGUUAUUUUUAGUCCUUGUAAAUCUAUAGAAUUUGAGAGAAAACCUUUGAAAAGUGCCAGUAUUCCAUGCAUGCUGCUAAAAUGAAGUGAAGUUUGGAAAGAAGUGAUAUCUCCAGACAGGAUUUAUAGUAAUCUGGGGUGUAAAUGAAGGAGAAACACUAAUGAUUGAAUUCCCUGCUUUUAUUGGGGAAAUAGGGCUUUUAAAAUUUUGACCUCAACUAAAAAUGAUAUGCAAUAGUCUAUGUUUGUGUGUGUUUGAAAUAUAUCCUAUUCUCAGAGAUUUCUACAUCCUCACAUUUUAGUGAUUUGGGGCAUGGGCUUAUGAACACUAUUUAACUUAUUCAAACAUUAUUUUGGUUCAUCCUUAAAGCCAAGUUCUUGCUGUCUUCUACCAGGGGCUGCUGACUCCAAUUACCCAUGGGAUGAAGGACCUGGUAGGGAUAAGGGUCUUUCAAAACUUUAUGGGUCUAGGCAUUUGUCUCUCCUUAAGUGGCAGUCACAACUGGAGAUUGAAAAACUGAUUUCUGCAGUGAACCUAAACUUUUGGAGUAAAAAGCCAAAUCUUUUUAAAAAUUUUAACAGAAAAGGAAGGAAGAAAAAAAAACCUCCAAGUUCGUUACUAGUAUAAUCCAAUUAUGAGCAAUGGAAUCCCUCCAGGAUUCUCAUUUGGGCCUUGUGUGAUUUGUUUUUCUUACUUGUGCUUUGAAGUAAAUAAGCUUCAGUAAAAAAUAAUUUUGUUAUUGCUUUCAACAUUAGAUGGUGUUGACUUGAAUCAUGUAUAGCACAGUACUUUUUGCAGUAAAAUUGGUGUGAAAUACUAAACAGUAUGGAUUUUAUAGGUAUCAAGUUAGAUGGUCAAGGGAUAUCUAUAUUGUUAGAUGUUGAUGAUCUUACUUAUUUUCUAUUCCACUUCACAGAGCACCUUACCCAGCUUGCGGUUUUAGGACAACCAAAGCUUAUUGUUAUUGAUUAGUCCUAAUCUCUGCACUGGGUCCCCUAUAUGAGAGUCUUGUUUGAAUUUUGGUGAAUUAGAGAAUUUUGACUGGUAUUACACUAAAGCAUCUGGAAGGAGUAUAGCUCUGUGUCUGUCAUAAAGGAGGGAUAAAGACUGUAAUUUGAAGGGAAUAAAAUAUGUGAGAUCCCCCAUUAAGUGGUGCUUUUAGUAACCUUUAAUGCUGAGAUACAGAGGCUGCUUUUCAAUAUUUCACAAAGGAGUGGAAUACAAACAAGUAUGGAUUUUAAACCUUUUCUCCAAAUGUAAUUGUCACUGGACCCUGAAUUGCCUGAAAAUUAUAUGUAACUCAUACAGAAAUAUGGGUUUUUCCCCAUAAAACUGUUUAAUAAAAGUAUUACACAGCAAUAAUAUUGAAGUUAUUUACUGAUUGCUGACUAUAUUGUCAAGAUCUGUCUGCCGUGAUAAUCUCAGAAUCUGAAGAAUGUAAAUUGCUAGGCAGGCACAUUUGGAUAAAGGGAAGAAUUCAUGGCUGCAGGGACAUUAGUGAUAUCCUUCCAUCUGCCACAUUUUCUCCUCUUUUUGUACUGGGCAAUGCCAUCAUUAAUUGUGGGAAUGCAGACUAAGUCACUGAUUUGAUUUUCAGCAUUUUCUCUGAACUGACUGCACAUUUAGCUAUUAUGCUGUGAAAUUAUCUGAGAUCUUAAACCAAUGAUUGUCAUUCCCAGGUGUACAUUCAUAUCACUGCUGAAGAUUCUGUAAACAUUAAUCCCCAGUCUACUACCUCCAUCCCAAUUAAAUGGAAAUCUCUGGUGUGUGA